AACGAACGCUGGCGGCAGGCUUAACACAUGCAAGUCGAACGCCCCGCAAGGGGAGUGGCAGACGGGUGAGUAACGCGUGGGAACAUACCCUUUCCUGCGGAAUAGCCCUGGGAAACUGGAAUUAAUACCGCAUACGCCCUACGGGGGAAAGAUUUAUCGGGGAAGGAUUGGCCCGCGUUGGAUUAGCUAGUUGGUGGGGUAAAGGCCUACCAAGGCGACGAUCCAUAGCUGGUCUGAGAGGAUGAUCAGCCACAUUGGGACUGAGACACGGCCCAAACUCCUACGGGAGGCAGCAGUGGGGAAUAUUGGACAAUGGGCGCAAGCCUGAUCCAGCCAUGCCGCGUGAGUGAUGAAGGCCUUAGGGUUGUAAAGCUCUUUCACCGAUGAAGAUAAUGACGGUAGUCGGAGAAGAAGCCCCAGCUAACUUCGUGCCAGCCGCCGCAGUAAUAC
rnacentral:rRNA from 1 species